UCAAUUUCAAUUCUAAAAAUACUAACCUAGGCCAGAAUCAUUAAAUUAAAUACCAAUACGGACUCGGAAAAUUCCCGAACCCUUCUAGAUAAAUAGUACAAUUUAUUUAGGCCUUAGCUAAACCAUGCUAACCACCUAACAUGCUCAAUUAAAUAAUUCAAUUUCUUAUUUAAUCUAACUAACCAUCUAAUUCCUAAUAAAAUAAAUCUAACACCCCUUAAACGUCAUUAAACUACUAAGCAGAGUUUAGAGUAUAAACUCAUCGGUGUAUCACAAAAACCGGUUCACCGCGACGAUGACGCGACGGCGGCCGAAACCUUAAUUUUCGGUGGCGUUGGCAAACUUAGGCUGGGCCUAAACUUAAGCCAACAAAUCUCAGUCCAAGUGAGAUUUGUCACUGAAACGGGCCAGGCUUCACUGGACUUGGGCUUAAAGAUUGGGCUGCUGAAAUUUUUUUUCUUUGGGCUUCAAUUGAAUUAAACCUCCUUGAGCUGAGCUGCAUAUGGGCUCAAAGGAGCUGCUGGGUCAGAAGACGUUGGGCUGAAGACGCUGGAUUGGGCUAAACUCCACGGGUAGAUGGGCUGCGGGCUUUGCUGGUUUUUGCUGGAAUCUUCAAGCAGUGGCGUUGAAGGAAUUCUGGAUGACCGGUUGGCAAGCGGCAGCAGAGAGAUGGGACCAGCUGGCACUGCGGACGUUGGAGAAGCGGACGAAGGGAGCAGCUCGCUGAAAUUUCGCGGAGCUCGAAGAUGCGGCGUCAAAUGGAUGACGACGUGCACGUUUAAGGAGCUGCGGGCGUGAAGACCAAAACUGAGAAGUGUUCGGUGGACUGGGGCUUCGUUGGCGAGCUGGUGGAGAAGACACAAGGAGGGGAUGCUGAUCUUCAGCGCAGCUGCAGCUUCAUUGGACGUGCUUGCUCGAAGAUCGUCGGUAGACGUGGCAACGGCAGGAGCUACUCAGUCAGCCAAGGAAUUCGGUGGAGGCGUUGGCUGUUCAAUAAUCAAGGCCAGUUUGGAGAAGCUUUGAUCGAAGAAGCUGAAGACGCAAGGCUGAGGGGAGGAAAUAUGGUGAUGGCGUUAGAUAAUGGUGUAUGUUGGAUGAUGAUGAUGAUGGUGGUGGGAAGACAAAACUCAGUGAAGAUGGGCUAAGGGAGAGAGAUUGUGGGGCUGUGGUCUUCGGUGGUUGUGAAAUGAAGAAGAAAAUGAAAACAAAACAGGAACCGGAGGAGAU
rnacentral:lncRNA from 1 species